GCUGGUUGGGCUCGCCCGUCAGUCUUCGGGCGUUCGUGCUUCCUGCAUGGUAGCUUCAGUCCGUGAGUGAUUCCGUUCCGGCUAGCCAGCCAACACCGAAAUCCAUCACCCUCAAUUUCUACCCCCAACUCUCUCACCCAAGGAUUUAGGAGGCUGUGGAGGUGAAGAUUACAGGAUACUACGAAAGAUUAGAGGAAAAAGAGUGUUAAAAUGAUAAUGAUAAAUGAUAAUGAAAAAUGAUACAUAAAAGAAUCACCACACGGCCGUAACAUUGACCGUUCGCCACUGGUACGGCAGUUCAACGAGAGACCAACAAGAAGAAAAACAAAAACACGACAGCACACCCAAUUAUGUACGGGACGAAAAAAAUCCACUGCACGGAUACGCUUUGCCAGAAAGUCCCAGCGCGACGACAAAAGUUCGACGAAUGUCAUCGAUGCCUCGAUAGUCAUCGUGGUGGCAGCAGUACAGCAGCGCAAACAGUCGUCCUGUAAGGUUACAGCUCCGGUACACUUGGUGUUUGUGUGUAUGUGUGUGUGAGUGGACCGCAACGGAAUAGCACAGCAGCGGCACUAUCGCCCACCAUGGCCAAAGGAUCAUUAAGUAUCACUGUUUAUGACGGUCGAGACUGAUAAAUGAUACGUACACGCACACACACACAUUGAGGAGUGAGGUUUCGCUAGCAUCAUGUUCCGGUCCGGUCUGUUCAUGCAAUCAGUUGUCCCUGGAAUGACCCAUGGAUCGUCGGGUUUUGAGAAGUGAUACGCCAGCCCACUGUAGUGUGUGAGCAGUUUCCUUGGCACCCGUUUUGCGAGCGAGUCUGUCGCUUCUUAUCUGGUCGAUCUGUUGACAAAAUGUUUCCCACCGUUGUGGAUAGCGGCAAGACGGCUGCAAGAUUAUUGCCUGGCGAUUGUAGCAAUUUCUUUGCCCGGCCCUGUGGACACGGGGCAAUGGCGUCCAGUGAAAGGCGGCUCGUGUGUGGUCAACGAGUGUUGGUGUGAAUCAGUGCUGGGUCGAACGUGUGGCCCUCCGGCUGAGGCGAUCCCGAAACUACCAUUAGGAUCAUCCCUUUAGUCGCAACUUGUUCCCCGUGUCCCGUGUCGGUCGAGCAAUCAUAACUCUCGGUGCUAAUGAGAGACAGUGUGUGAUGUUAUCGUUUGUGGCGAACGUUUUUCUGCGCCAACGACGGAAAAAGAAAGGUGCUUCCUAAUGAAGCUCGGUGAAUGGUGGUCGUUCGGACGCUCACGCCAUUGUGGUGCUGCUAGACACAAACACAAUCGAAAUGGUGUAGCUGCCGAUCGUACGAUCUAACAGUUUUCCUGGUGCUGCUGGACCGGGGCGUACCGGCCAUCAGCAACGAUGGCCAACCCAGUGCAUCUGCGGUUCAAUCGCUGUUCUGCAAUUAGUUCUAGUGCACCAAUAACGACGAGUCAAUAAAUUGCAGCCAAUUGCCGAUAACCAUCGUUCCACCGGAUUCCGCAUCAAGACCGGCAAAAUGCUUUCUCACCGAAGUGUAAAGUACCGCUGCGUGUUCCGGCGAGGUGUGCCACCGCGCUGAAACGGCAGGGAAAAAGUGUUUUUCGAUGAGAAAUAGUGACGCCAAAGUGAAUAAAAACGCGAUAAACGAGCGGGAAGUGGCGAAGGAAACGAUUUCAGUGUGCAAAGCAUCGUCAUAAAAUGUUGUUUUUAAUGGUGCGCACCGCUGGUGCUGCAUAGUUUUGCACCAUUUUCUUGAGGAAACUUCACUUCCAAGCGACCACCAAGUAGCUCGAGUGCAAAGCAUAUUCCGUCGUGCAGUGAACGCCAUUAGCGAUCGAGUGGUUGGUGUGCAGGAGAGAGAGAGAGAGAGAGAAGAACUAUCGCGCCAGCACCAAACACAUUGCGGAACGAAUUUUAACGAUAGCCCAGCAGCAGUGUCCAUGCACCAUUUCAGGAAAAAAAACAGAGUGGGGCUUGAAGUGCAAAACGUCAGCAAAACGGACCUAUUCAGCACGGAUUCAAUCGCUCUCGAGAUGUGGAUUCGCUUCGUUAAGACGCGUAACUCGGGAAGUGUUAGGACAUUAGCUGUGAUGCAAACGCGAUCAUCUUCGCAGCACUUGUGGUGGAUAAUUUGCUCAGCAAGCGCACAGCUCAUAUUACCCAGCAGUUGAGUUAAUGUUUUCACAAUAGAAGAGGGAGAGAGAGAGAAAGAGAAAAAAACAUUACUGUGACUACAUACCACUUGCAUCCAUCAGGCAAAUAAAUAGAUUCGCAACAGCCCAUUUACGAUAAAACGCCAUUGCAGGAGGUCACCGUCCGAUUGUACAUAGUGUCGAAGUAGAAGCGGAUGCAAAACAUUCGCUAAUAGUCUAGUUCGUGAAAAAGAAGGAACCCAAACCAACAACAAAUUAUCGUAAAUUGCACACACACGCAGUUCGGCAAUAGAAUAUCGGGGAAAAAUGGUGUUCGUGAAAUUUCAAUACUUCUGCAUCGUUUUCUUUCUGCUGGUGCGCUUCCUGAACGGUGCCACGAUGGAUCUGUACAAAAAUUCGCGCCUCGGCAAUCGGAUCGUACAGACGCGGUACGGUCGGUUGCAGGGACUGGUGCUGCCAUUGGACGGUUACAAAUUUCUCAAACCCAUCGAAGCGUUCCUUGGUGUCCCGUACGCCA